CUUUCUUAUUUAUAAAUUAUAACGAAAGACGAAAUUACCUAUCCUUAUAGAAUAUAUUCAAGGUUACAUCAAACGACCGCACGACUCAGUAUAACAAAAACAUUGCUUAGUUUCUCUUGAGAGAUCUUAGUGAUUGUACAUAGACGAAAACAAAGAAAAGAAUAAGUUAAGAAGAAGAAGAAGAAGAAGAAGAAGAAGAAGAAGAAGAAGAAGAAGAAGAAAAAGAAGAAGAAAAGAACAAUCCAUCUUUAGAUCAUUACAAAUAAUAGAUCGCAUAGAAAUUAGAUCAUUAUAAGGGAUUUCUUGCUCUCGUGUUCACGUAGGCAGGGGGUAGUGUUUACGGUCAUUUCAUCGGCCGCUAAGAGCAGCGUAAAGCGGCUACGGCAAUUUCAGAGCAGCCAUGGACAAAGACUAAUGGAGACUGUUGUACAUACCAACACCAAAGCUUUUUCUCUCUUUCUCUCUCUCUCUGUCUCUCUCUCUCUUUCUCUCUUUCUCUCUAAUGCGUACGCUGUGAUUCUAUCUCGUGCACGCUAAACAUACCAAUCUAUACAUCGAGCAUUGUAUUGGCAACGAAAAUCUUGUUUGAACAUGGACAGUAGUCCGUUUAAUCUUUCUCUGCUGAUAUCUCUCUUGUUCUCCUUUUCUCUUGCUAUCUCUCUCUUUUUGUCGCUGUUGCUCUCUCUAUCCUUCUCUAUCUCUUUUAUCGUAUCUGUCUAUCUCUUAGCCACUAUCUUUAUACCUCUCUCUCUCUCUGUCAUUCUCUUGGUCGUUCUCUUCUUCGCUACCAUUAUCCCUUCCUCUUUAUUUUUCUCUCUCUCUUUAUCUUUCUUGCUUUCUCUCAUAAUACCUUUCUUUCUCUCCUUCUCUCUCUUUUGUUAUCUCAUAUACUAUCUCUUACUAUCCCUUCCCUUUUCUCUCUCCGUUUCUCUCUUCCUAUCUCUUUUGCUCUCUUUCACCAUACCUCCAUCUAUCUUUCUAUCUUUACAUUUACUUCUUCGCGAGUGAACGAGAAGGAAAAUCGAGAAUGGCGAGAGGAAUGGGAAAGGAGCAAGUAUUUUCGAGAGGAACGAUUUCAGAGAAGCUUUUCGUGAUUUUUCAACGGUAAAGUGAGACACGUUCGAAUAUCUCGUAUCAGAAGUUAAGUGAACCGAAUUGCUCGCGACCGAUAGGUAUUGACGUGUAUGUAGUUUUCGAUCUAUUAACGUCGUUUUUAUAGAGAAAGAGAGAGAGAGAGAGAGAGAGAAAGAGACAGACAGAGAGAGAGAGAGAGAGAGAGAGAGAGAGAGAGAGAGAGAGAGAGAGAGAGAGAGAGAGAGAGAGAGAGAGAGAAAGUAAUUUUGUUUGGCACGUUAAAGAUGGUUCGAUUUAUCAAUCAUCUAUUUGUAUUAUGUAAGAAGAAAAUGAUGCGAGAGGAUGAAAAGAGAAAAGAAGAUAGAUCGAUCUAUUGUAAAUUCGAGAUCAUAAGUAAUAAAUCAGAUUAAUGUUUCCUCGUGAUUAAUGUAAUGCUCGAUGUAAAUUUAUCGAACGAGGAAACAAUAUCGGACACGUAAUCGAUCGUUCUAUUAUUUUCCUGUAAUAUCUUAUAUUUAACGAGCUCAUACGUCCGUGGAGAUUUUUAUUAUACUCAUUGUCUUGGAUAAAUGUAUGAAUAUGUGAAUACGUAGGUUAUUAAAAGAAUAAGUGUCACAGAUUGGAUUCUUUGAAUGGAGAAAAACCAAGAGAAGUGGGAAAAGUGGUCGACCAAAAAUAGCGUCAGGCAUUUAUAGAAAUGACAAGCAGUUUGUAUGUGAAUGAGCCAACUGAUGAGAAAGAGAGAGCCAGAGAGAGAGAAAGUACGGAUAAUUAAAAGGAGGAUGGAUACGCAUCUGGGUCGUGAAAAGUGCUGCUCAAACAAAUACGGAUUUUACGUAGAGAUGGUUGUUACUACGACGUUGUUACUACGACGAUAUAUGGGGUGAAAAUAAACGAGAAAAAGGGAGGGAGAGAAAAAAGGGAUCUCCUGGGUUGCGUCUGUGUACGUACUCAUACGCGUGAAGAGUGAAAACUGCGGGUGGUUUUUCGUCGGAACGACGAUCCGUCGACGACACCCAAAGACUCUUAUUUUGCCUCAAAAAGUUGGGGAUCUUCAAACAGCCUGAAAGAAGAAUACUCUGCUAUUCUUAGCUCUUUCAUUGUUGUAUCUUUAAGGAAGACAAAAGAAAGAAGAAAAAAAGAAGAAGAAGAAAAAAAGAAAAGAGAAAGAAAAAGAAAAAAACUUGUUGAGAUCGUUAAACGUUGAAUCGUUUUUCCUUCGUAAUUAGUUUCGUUAUUUUGAAAUUGUUCGGACAAAUUGGUCGAUUAGGAAAAAGUUUGGUCAACGAACGAUCAAUUAACAUUCGAUUUAUUUAGGAACGAAAUAUCGUAUUUCGAUGCAAGUAUUUAAUCCGUAAAAAAAUUUGCAAGCGGUGCGAAUUCGUGGAACAAGCACUCGAUUUACAGGGAAAGAGUUGAAUAUAUUUAAAUAUCGUUAAUUCCGAUAAGAGGAAGUUAAUCGGUGUGUAUAGCUAUUCUUCUUUCAAUGUACAGACAAAGAGAGAGAGAGAGAGAGAGAGAGAGAGAGAGAGAGAGAGAGAGAGAGAGAGAGAGAGAGAGAGAGAGAGAGAGAGAGAGAGAGAGCGAGAGAGAGAAAGGACAGAAAAAUAUCCCCACGUAUCGGUUUUUCUUAAAAGCGUAAUCACGAAAGCUCCUCUUAACUAUUUAUAAACGAUAUUACUCUCGAUUGUAUACCUUGACAUUUACAUAUAUAAAUUCUGAUAAAACAAUAUAAUAGAAUAAUGUAAAAUCACAAUUGCUUCAUUGUGAACUUUCUAAUUUUAUAUACCAGAGCGAUAUCGAAUGAUCUUAAAUUGUAAUAAUAGAAUAUCGUUAAUAUGUUGAUUACGUUUUUAAGAGAGCCAUUAAUAUUUCGGAGAUUCAUUAUUAAAGAUAUACAAGAACUGAUAACCUAUGUAUUUAAUUACAAAUUCUACGUUCUAAGCUUGGUACUUUGUUCCAAUGAAACAAAAAGCGGUAUACAGUUGGAUUUUAAUUAACAUAAGACGAUAGUUUAUUUUAAUAAGAGCUACAUAUUCUGAUGAAGUAGAAAGAAUAUACUUUUCUUUUCUCUCUAUCUUUCUUUAUAUCCUCCUCUUUGCUCGCACAGUCAUUAAUUUUCACUUUAGGAGUGCCUACACAUUUCUUUACUUUCGCGAACUUCUUUAUGUUGCUACCCGUAUAACAUCAAGGCACUCUAUUUCUUUCUUUCAGACCGUUGAACAUCCACAUUGGCGAGAAAACUUUUUUAAGAAAAAUUGAACGUUUAAAUACAACGAUAAAGUCAAAAUAAUUUUGUUUCGAAUUUCUGUCUUUCAGAGAUAAUCGCGUAUAUGUAAUGAAAGGACGAAAUUAAUUUCGAUUCGACAAAGCCGUAAUUUCAAUGCUUAAUAAUAUGCAGUUUGAAUAGCAUAAGUGUUCAAUCCUAUUUUAGAAAGCAUCGACCACUUUUCCAAGCAUUAAUAGGAAACGAUGACUAUUGUCAUUCCAGGAUUUUCCUGUAUAAGUCGAAUAAUCAAGCGAAUAAGAUAAUACUAUGCGCUAAUUGUUGCGGUUAUCGUACAAUUAUUAUUUGCUAUGUCACAUACUGAAAUUCGCUCGUCACAUUAAUUUCAUAUUGAUCCGUUAAAUAAACUGUGUAUUUUGUAAUUGACUGUUAGCGUUAUUAAUGAGAAAUUAAUUUUACUUAUCGACGUUGCCAAGCAACCUGAAAUAUUUCAUUUGUAUAAGACCCAGACAUUUCGUUCUCCUUAAAUGAAUCACAAAACGCGAUAACCAUUGUUAGUUCCUGAUUAUUUUCUUCACGAAGAGAGAAAAUAUUUUUUAGGUGAGAGCAGUAGAAAUACCGGAGAGACGGCUAUGACAGAGGCAUGCAGAAGUGAUUAACAUCGGAUGCAUUAUUGUUCUGUUGCUUUUGAAAAGCUAAUCGACCUUCACCAUAGAAAGUAACAAAGAAAACAUGAAAUAUUUCGAAAGAGGUAAAAGGCACGUACGUACAUAUAUACCUAUAGUAAUUUUUAUUUUACCUUGCCUUUUUAUCGAUUAAACGAACAAUAAUAAAUUUAAUUAAAGAUCGUUAUAAUUUUGUUCUCCUUUUGGAUAUUAUUUUUCCAUAAAUAAAUCCAUUGAAAAUUGAUAUUCCCAAUGUAAAAAGGAUUCGAUUGAAACCAAUUGGAAUUCUCGUCGUAAAACUUAACUACGUAGUUGCGAACGAAUUAUUCAAAAGAUUUAAUUUACCUUUAUCUUUCUCGUAACGAUCGUGCUUCGUAGUUACGGAAGGAGUAUACAGAAGGAUUAAAAAUACGUGACGUUUCGUGGACAAUUAACGUAGCUUUCCACGUAAUUAUGGAAACAAUGACACUAUGAUCAAUACGGACCAUCAUGGAGUAUGUUUGAUACACAAGACAAUCCUGUGUUUCGUCACGUUUUACGGAUAUAAAAAAAAAAAGAAGAAAAAAAAAACAAUGUUUCGUUAUUAUAUCUUAGCAAAAAUUAUAUUGAUCAUUGAUUUUCCAAAUAUAAUUAUUAUAUUAUUCGAUUAAUCAACAUAUUUGCAUUCCCAUAACAAUUGGAACGUACGAUCGGUAGUUCGAGUAUUAUUUGUCACUUGUAAUUAGUGACUAAUCGAAUGGUUAAUUUAAAUUCUAAGUACACGACAAUCCGGUGGGAGUUUACUAUUAGUACAUAGUCAAAGCCUUAGUUGACUCGUUCCUAAUGUUUACAUUAUCUUCAUAAACACAUAUAAUACACGUAUAAUCUUGCAAUAUAUUCAGAGAUGUACGUUAAGUACAAAGUAUAAAAGAAAAAAGAAAAAAAAGAAGAAAAAAAAAGAAAGAAAGAAAGAAAGAAAGGAAUAAGGAAAGAAAAACAACUACGAUGGUUGUAAGUUUUAAGGAUGAAGAAAGUAUUCUUUUUAUCGCUAAUUAAGAUUCUCCCCUCUUGUAUUCAGAGUUAUUUAUGUAAGUUUAA